AUGGGAUCUGGAAAUUAACGGCGAUGAUGAGAGCCUUGGGUACUGACCUAGAGGCCUGGGCACGACGAAGAUCAGCGGCGACCUUGUUGUCAGGAAGACCGAGUAAAUUGUCGAGCCAUACACUCGUGACUCGACCAUAUCCAAUCGACCACAAGUCGCUUCAAGAGCCAAUCGUUAGGGUGAGGGGAUUUCUGUUUUCUGGCGAAGUAAUUCUUGGCCCUGAGAGAAAAGAGGUCGCCAAAGGGUGGGCCCACCCAUUGAAGCGUGUGUGAUGGUCGAGGGAGUCGGCUCGGCAGGCCUCAUGCUUCCCGUCGAUCAAUGGGGGAUGAGAGAGAAAGGGAUUUUGGGUGGAGGGUUCUCUUUACGUGAGGUUCAUGGCUUUUGCUUUGUUGGGCACAUUGUAGAUGGGACUCUCUCUCUCUAGGAUCUUGAAGCGUGCCUGCUUCUGCCUUGGGUCUUUGUCUCACAAGGAUCCUUGGAUCUCCCUUUUCCCCCCAAAAGGAAUCUCUCUCUCUUUGGGGAUCUGAAAAAUUGUUUGCUUGCUGCCUCAGAAGAAAGGGUCGCUCUAUUUCUCACUCCUCUUUAGGGAACUUCUUGCCUCCUACCCGCCUUAGGACUCUUUUUUUAGGAUCUUCCUACCUUAAUCCCUUGAAAAAAAAAAAAACCCCUCUUCCCCUAUAGCAUACAAAAACUAUCAUCUCCCCCAAAA
rnacentral:lncRNA from 1 species